rnacentral:tRNA from 1 species
CCAAAUGUAGCUCAUUCGGGUAGAGCAUUCGACUGAUAAUCGAAGUGUAGCGGGUUCGAAUCCCGCCAUUUGACCCG